rnacentral:rRNA from 1 species
AGCAUAUCAAUAAGCGGAGGGAAAAGAAACCAACAGGGAUUGCCCCAGUAACGGCGAGUGAAGCGGCAACAGCUCAAAUUUGAAAUCUGGCCCCCCGGGUCCGAGUUGUAAUUUGUAGAGGAUGCUUUUGGCAAGGUGCCUUCCGAGUUCCCUGGAACGGGACGCCAUAGAGGGUGAGAGCCCCGUCUGGUCGGACACCGCGCCUCUGUAAAGCUCCUUCGACGAGUCGAGUAGUUUGGGAAUGCUGCUCUAAAUGGGAGGUAUAUGUCUUCUAAAGCUAAAUACCGGCCAGAGACCGAUAGCGCACAAGUAGAGUGAUCGAAAGAUGAAAAGCACUUUGAAAAGAGAGUUAAAAAGUACGUGAAAUUGUUGAAAGGGAAGCGAUUAUGACCAGACUUGGGCCUGUUUGAUCAACUUGGGUUCUCCCGGGUGCACUCUCUCAGGCCUAGGCCAGCAUCAGUUCGUCGCGGGGGAAAAAUGUCGCGGGAAUGUAGCUCCCCUCGGGGAGUGUUAUAGACCGCUUCGUAAUACCCUGCGUCGGACUGAGGUUCGCGCACUUGUGCAAGGAUGCUGGCGUAAUGGUCAUCAUCGACCCGUCUUGAAACACGGACCAAGGAGUCGUCUUCGUAUGCGAGUGUUCGGGUGUUAAACCCCUACGCGGAAUGAAAGUGAACGCAGGUGAGAGCUUCGGCGCAUCAUCGACCGAUCCUGAUGUUCUCGGAUGGAUUUGAGUAAGAGCAUACGGGGCCGGACCCGAAAGAAGGUGAACUAUGCCUGUAUAGGGGUGAAGUCAGAGGAAACUCUGAUGGAGGCUCGCAGCGGUUCUGACGUGCAAAUCGAUCGUCAAAUAUGGGCAUGGGGCGAAAGACUAAUCGAACCUUCUAGUAGCUGGGUUUCCGCCGA